GCAUACUCAUCGAUUACAAUUCAGCAUUAGGCAAACUGCUAUGUACCGUAGGCUUGGAGCUAACAGAUUGCUUCGUAAAAUGGAGAUUUACCGUAGUUGGGAGGGAGGUCGCCUGGUUUUGCUGGUGUGGUUCCAUCUAGUUUGAAGGAGAGGGAAGCGUCUUCUCUCCCGCUGCUAUUUUCUUACAAUCAACGCUCGACCUCCGCCUCAUGCACCACGAUCACCAAAGACCCAAACGAAACAACAUAGGGGGCCAUGUGGAAAAAAUAUGGGAGAGUACGAUUUGCCUAAUGUGUGACCCGUGUGAAUGUAUCCACAAAGUCUACCAACGAGACAAUUUUCACUGUACAUUCAUGUAGAUGACAAAUUCAUGCACUGUAUUGCACUAUUUGCAACUUGAUGGGAAAAAAAUAAUACAAUGUUGCAAGUUGUUGUAUGGUGGAUCCAUUUUACUCAUUAUAAAAUUCACAUCUCUAUAAAUUCACCUUAUGUUUUAAAAACAAAAACCCAAAUGAACUACCACCGCACGAGGAUUGAGCACUCUUGCUUUGUGUACCCCACCACAAACCCAACCUCUCGAUCUACAUGCCAUCGUUGGUGCACCAUAGCCCUCAUACAAGUCCCCCCUGAUGCUAAUCAUCCCGGUCUCAAACUAUCGUGAGCCCCUACAACCUCAACAUCCUCACUGAAUCCAAACUCUCAACACCCUCAUAUCAGGACAUUUGUAUUUUCAAGGUUCCAAAUGUGAAUUUUAGGGUGUUUUUAGACUUUGAAUGUAA
rnacentral:lncRNA from 1 species